rnacentral:rRNA from 1 species
GAUGAACGCUGGCGGCGUGCAUAACACAUGCAAGUCGAACGAUGAAACCUAGUAUACUUCUUCGGAAAGACACUAAGCGGAUUAGUGGCGAACGGGUGAGUAACCCGUGAGUAGCCUGGCUUACACAAGGGGAUAGUCUCUGGAAACGAAAAAUAAUAUCCUAUAAGACCAUAAAAGCACAUGCUAGAAUGGUCAUAGUGAUAGCGGUGUAAGAUGGACUUGCGACUGACUAGCUUGUUGGUGAGAUAAAACCCCACAAAGGGAACGAACAGUCGCCGGCUUGGGAGAGUGUACGGCCUCAUUGCGACAGAGACCCGGCCCAGACUCCGGCGGGAGGCAGCAGUGGGGAAUUGUGCACAGUGAGGGACACACUGAUGCAGCGCCGCCGCGUGAAUGAGAAGGCCUUGGGGUUGUACAAAUCUUUUGUAUAAGAAGAAAAUGACGGUACUAAACGAAUAAGGUCCGGCUAACUACGUG